AAUUUUUUUUUUUGAAAACUUGACCCCAGAGUAUGCCAGAUCCGCCACAAAUACAGAAAAUCCACUGUUCACACGGACAUAGUCUCCCCUGUAUUUGCACGGCGUCGCACAAGUACAAGAGUUCAAACAUUAUACAACCACAACCAUAUGAACAUACAGAUGACCAAUAGAUAUACAUUCAUACACCAUUCACCACAGGUUCACAUUAAUACAUUCGAUAUUUAAAUAUAAAUCCACAUCUAUCAGUUAAAAUAUUUCCAGCCACAGAAACAGGUUUUGUAAUACUAAGAUCCAAGAUCCACAGAAAACCUUUUGAAAGCUGUUCCCUACACAGGAACUUUUAUCUUUAUAAAACGCUACCACGAGGGGUAGAAAAUCUUUUAUUUUACAAAAUCCAAAAAUCCUUUUAUUACAUUCAUAAAAAUCCACAUAUUCAAAUGUAAUGAAAAUACUGAACCAGGUAAACUAUCUAAACUAUGUCAACAGAAUAGUAAGGGUAGGAACUAAACCAAUAACCUGGGUCGGAAGCUCUAUCGACCGCUACGAACGUACCUCACGUCUCGUCCCAAAACUCAUCGUCUGCAAUACCUGAAAAAUGGUGGGGGAGGUGAG
rnacentral:lncRNA from 1 species